rnacentral:rRNA from 1 species
UACGUAGGAGGCGAGCGUUGUCCGGAGUUACUGGGCGUAAAGGGUGCGCAGGCGGUGGUGCGCGUGGAUAGAUGAAAUCUCCUGGCUUACCUGGGAGGAUGGUAUCCAGACGGCAUCACUUGAGGGUCGGAGAGGGGCGUGGAAUUCCGGGUGGAGCGGUGAAAUGCGCAGAUAUCAGGAAGAACACCGAUGGCGAAGGCAGUUCUCUGGGACGGUACUGACGCUGAGACGCGAAAGCGUGGGGAGCGAACAGG